AGACAUUCAUAUUACAUUCCAAAAUUUGAUUUCAUAUUUUUAUGAAUUUUUAAAUUGUGUCUGUAUAGCAACGUAAACCAUAUUUGUCAUAACUUUGGCAUGUAAUUAUUAAAGAAUAAAACAGUAAAAGAACAUGAAAAUCACCACAGUGGUACUUGGGGAGAUGUAGAACAAGAAUCAGGUGGAGUUUGCAGAAAACAAUUUGAUUUAAUAUUUUUAUGAAUUUUUAAAUUUGGUCUGUGUAGCAAUGUAAACCAUAUUUGUCAUAACUUUGGCAUGUAAUUAUUAAAGAAUAAAACAGUAAAAGAACAUGAUAGUCACCACAGUGGUACUUGGGGAGAUGUAGAACAGGAAUCAGGUGGAGUUUGCAGAAAACAAAUUGAUUUCAUAUUUUUAUGAAUUUUUAAAAUUGGUCUGUAUAGCAACGUAAACCAUAUUUGUCAUAACUUUGGCAUGUAAUUAUUAAAGAAUAAAACAGUAAAAGAACAUGAUAGUCACCACAGUGGUACUUGGGGAGAUGUAGAACAGGAAUCAGGUGGAGUUUGCAGAAAACAAAUUGAUUUCAUAUUUUUAUGAAUUUUUAAAAUUGGUCUGUAUAGCAACGUAAACCAUAUUGGUCAUGAAUUUGGCAUGUAAUUAUUAAAGAAUAAAACAGUAAAAGAACAUGAAAAUCACCACAGUGGUACUUGGGGAGAUGUAGAACAAGAAUCAGGUGGAGUUUGCAGAAAACAAUUUGAUUUCAUAUUUUUAUUCAUUUUUAAAAUUGGUCUGUAUAGCAACGUAAACUGUAUUUGUCAUAACUUUGGCAUAUAAUUAUUAAAGAAUAAAACAGUAAAAGAACAUGAAAAUCACCACAGUGGUACUUGGGGAGAUGUUGAACAGGAAUCAGGUGGAGUUUGCAAAACAAACCAAA